CGAGUGUGAGCAUGCCUGUCGGG
rnacentral:siRNA from 1 species